rnacentral:rRNA from 1 species
UCUCAGUUCGGAUUGGAGUCUGNAACCCGACUCCAUGAAGCUGGAUUCGCUAGUAAUCGCGCAUCAGCCACGGCGCGGUGAAUACGUUCCCGGGCCUUGUACACACCGCCCGUCAAGCCAUGGAAGCCGGGGGUGCCUGAAGUGCGCUGCCGCAAGGAGCGCCCUAGGGUAAAACCGGUGACUGGGGCUAAGUCGUAACAAGGUAGC